rnacentral:rRNA from 1 species
GACGAACGCUGGCGGCGCGCCUAACACAUGCAAGUCGAACGAGCGAGAGAGAGCUUGCUUUCUCGAGCGAGUGGCGAACGGGUGAGUAACGCGUGAGGAACCUGCCUCAAAGAGGGGGAUAACAGUUGGAAACGACUGCUAAUACCGCAUAAGCCCACGACCCGGCAUCGGGUAGAGGGAAAAGGAGCAAUCCGCUUUGAGAUGGCCUCGCGUCCGAUUAGCUAGUUGGUGAGGUAACGGCCCACCAAGGCGACGAUCGGUAGCCGGACUGAGAGGUUGAACGGCCACAUUGGGACUGAGACACGGCCCAGACUCCUGCGGGAGGCAGCAGUGGGGAAUAUUGCACAAUGGGGGAAACGCUGAUGCAGCGACGCCGCGUGGAGGAAGAAGGUCUUCGGAUUGUAAACUCGUGUUGUUGAGGAAGAUAAUGACGGUACUCAACAAGGAAGUGACGGCUAACUACGUG